rnacentral:tRNA from 1 species
GCCCACGUAGCUCAGUCGGUAGAGCACUUCCUUGGUAAGGAAGAGGUCAGGGAUUCGAGUUCCCUCGUGGGCU